rnacentral:rRNA from 1 species
UACGUAGGGUGCGAGCGUUGUCCGGAAUUACUGGGCGUAAAGCGUGCGCAGGCGGUUUUGUAAGUUUGUCGUGAAAGCCCCGGGCUUAACCUGGGAAUGGCCGUCGAAACUGGCGAACUGGAGUGUGGCAGAGGGGGGUGGAAUUCCGCGUGUAGCAGUGAAAUGCGUAGAGAUGCGGAGGAACACCGAUGGCGAAGGCAGCCCCCUGGGCUGACACUGACGCUCAGGCACGAAAGCGUGGGGAGCAAACAGG